CCUACGGGAGGCAGCAGUGGGGAAUAUUGGACAAUGGGGGGAACCCUGAUCCAGCCAUGCCGCGUGUGUGAAGAAGGCCCUCGGGUUGUAAAGCACUUUCAGUGAGGAAGAACGCCUGGUGGUUAAUACCCAUCAGGAAAGACAUCACUCACAGAAGAAGCACCGGCUAACUCCGUGCCAGCAGCCGCGGUAAUACGGAGGGUGCGAGCGUUAAUCGGAAUUACUGGGCGUAAAGCGCGCGUAGGUGGCUUGAUAAGCCGGUUGUGAAAGCCCCGGGCUCAACCUGGGAACGGCAUCCGGAACUGUCAAGCUAGAGUGCAGGCGAGGAAGGUAGAAUUCCCGGUGUAGCGGUGAAAUGCGUAGAGAUCGGGAGGAAUACCAGUGGCGAAGGCGGCCUUCUGGACUGACACUGACACUGAGGUGCGAAAGCGUGGGUAGCAAACAGGAUUAGAUACCCUUGUAGUC
rnacentral:rRNA from 1 species